rnacentral:rRNA from 1 species
AGAUGGCGACCGGCGCACGGGUGAGUAACACGUAUCCAACCUGCCGAUAACUCGGGGAUAGCCUUUCGAAAGAAAGAUUAAUACCCGAUGGCAUAAUUAGACCGCAUGGUCUUAUUAUUAAAGAAUUUCGGUUAUCGAUGGGGAUGCGUUCCAUUAGGCAGUUGGUGAGGUAACGGCUCACCAAACCUUCGAUGGAUAGGGGUCCUGAGAGGAAGGUCCCCCACAUUGGAACUGAGACACGGUCCAA